UGGAAGGCUCAGAGAUCAGCUUUUUACCUACUACAGUGACCAGUCGGAGUGGAUAUCGCAGCAAACGUUGAAGGGCAGACACGCAGUUAUUACUUUCGCUAUGGUGAUUCGAGGCGGCAUGCAUGCCACUUUUUCAAUGACUGGCAGGUGCAUGGUUUACUUCAUGCCUCGAGGUUUUCUUGGUCCUUUAACUCUCAGUUUAGCCUUCCCAAAGGGUUCUUCGCUGCGAGACAUAUUUGAUCUUGUAAUUGUCAGACUGCGGGAGUCAGGCAUCACGGACAAGAUAUUUUCUGAUCGCACAGUCAAUGCCACUGAUUGCAUCGCGCCCGUGAGUUCCAUGGCACUUCCAUCACAGCGUGCGCUUCAGCUAAAGGACUUUUAU